rnacentral:rRNA from 1 species
AUUGAACGCUGGCGGUAGGCCUAACACAUGCAAGUCGAACGAGUGGCGGACGGGUGAGUAAUGUCUGGGAAAUUGCCCGAUGGAGGGGGAUAACUACUGGAAAGGGUAGCUAAUACCGCAUACCAUCAGAUGUGCCCAGAUGGGAUUAGCUUGUUGGUGGGGUAACGGCUCACCAAGGCCACGAUCCCUAGCUGGUCUGAGAGGAUGACCAGCCACACGGGAACUGAGACCCGGUCCAGACUCCUACGGGAGGCAGCAGUGUGGAAUUUUGCACAAUGGGGGCAAGCCUGAUGCAGCCAUGCCGCGUGUAUGAAGAAGGCCUUCGGGUUGUAAAGUACUUUCAGCGGGGAGGCGUUACCCGCAGAAUAAGCACCGGCUAACUCCGUGCCAGCAGCCGCGGUAAUUC